GGGUGGGGCCCCAAGGGCCGUCCGGCGGGGGCGGGGCCUGUCAUGGCAGCCUCCAGAGUCAAUUCCAGGAACCCUGAGGAUGAACUGACCCUCUUAUUCACUGUUCCACAUCGAGCUGCAGACCCAUCAGAUGGAACCAUGUGAUCAUUGUGGCCAGAGGCUGACCCCACAGCCACCUUGUGCCUCCCUUGGACCCACCCAGGAAUUUCUGAGCCUUCUUUAUGCAGCAAGAGGAAAAUCAUGCACUACCUCCUUAGAUUCUUAUCACCGGGGUGUGUUUAACAAGCAGAGCUAAGCUGAGGCAGGGAAAGGCCCUUGGAGGAACGAUCACUGCUUCCCUCGUGAUGAGAAGAACUGGCAAAAUUAUGAACAGGUGGAAAAGCGCACCCCAGAAGUGCUCCCUCCCUUGCUCCUGAACCCGGGUACACAUCAGAACAUCAAUCUGCCUAUUCAGCAUCAUCACGACGGUGCGGGAACCUCCUUGGCACUUUCAAAUACUUUUUUCAUAAACCCAAUUCAUGUCCACUAGGAAUGGCCCUGACCAGGGAGAGACUUGGGAGAUGAGAACUUUUGCUAAUCAGCAAAGCUGUAUCUGAGUCCAGACUCUUGCCUCCAGCCUUUAGACUGAAGAAGCACCUGGCAGCCCCCGGGGGCCAAGGAGGCCCACCUGUCUGUUUGCUUCUCCGGGAGCUGCUCCCACACGUCGCGCAGUCUGGGCACAGCGCCAAUGCGAGCUCUGCUUUCAGGACUUUGCAUCUCUCUUUCUCUGUGAAGACUCCAAGCCGGCCCGGGUUUGGAAGCCUCUCUGCUGCCUCUUCACACUUAUCUCUGAAUGAGAGAAACCCAGCCCGGCUCCCCUGAGCAAGGCUGAAUGAGCCCCGAGAUCUAAACUGGCACGAGCUACAGCUUGAGAACCACUCGUGCUAAAAUGGAAAAGGACUUGGAGAGCGCAGCGCCUUUUCAAGAGAACGGAGAGGAAGAUUCAACAGCGGGAGGAACUGAAACAGCCACUUGGAUUACUGUCCUAGGUGAGGGUGGUCACCUGUGUCACGUGGUCACCCUUGUCACGUGGCCACAUUGACAGGAUGCAGGUUAGAAUUAAGCCCACUGCCGCCCAUCGGUUGCACAGUGAACAUCUAGAGCGUCUCCCCAGUGGUUGUCAUCUCUUGGUGGGUCAGAAUCAUUUACAAGGGUCCUUGUAUCUCAGGUAGCAGAGGAGCCUGGGUCCAGGACGCCCCUAAAGUGUGCCUUGUCCCAGGCAGAGCUGCACUGUGUCCCCGCCUGCCUGGUCUAAGAAGUAUCUGCUCCUCAGCAAAUGAAGACGACUGGAAAGCCCCGACCCUCAGAGAUGAAAGGGGCCCGAGAGAAGGGCUCCACCGACCUCCGUUGUUUGAAUGGACACGUUUCCUGAACGCGGUCACGUCUAUACAGCGGAUUUCCUGCACCAACUCGCUGUCUGGUCCUGGGAGCUAUAAUAAUGAUGCCACCGCUACUCGUACUGGGGCUGCCUUCCCGGAGGGGAAGAUCGGGCAGGGGAGGCGCUGAGGCUGCGCAGUUGGCUGCGGCACCUGAGUCCCCUCCGCAGUCCUAAGAAAGGUUUCAGGGCCCUCUUCCAAGCAGCCUCAGGUAUGGUUUGAGUGGCACCGAUCCUGGGCUGCUGGGAGCCUAGACACCGUCCACAACAUCACGGGCAAUGACCUGUGAGCUAGGAGGACCACCUGGAUUAGCGGGCAGGGCUUCCCUGGUAGCGCAAUGGUUGGGAAGCCGCCUGCCAAUGCAGGAGACACGGGUUCGAGCCCUGGUCCAGGAGGAUCCCACAUGCCGCAGAGCAACCAAGCCCGUGCUCCGCAACAAGAGAAGCCACCGAAGUGAGAAGCCCACGCACCGCAAUGAAGAGUAGCCCUGGCUCUCCACAACUAGAGAAAGCCCGCGUGCAGCAGCGAAAACCCAACGCAGCCAAAAAUGAAUAAAUAAAUUUAUUUUUUUUUAAAAAAGAGUACCUGCUGGGUGAGAUUAAGUGGACUUUUUUUUUUAAGUGGACUUUUAAAUGCCCUUUUAAGUAAAAUUUGAGGCAAGAGAACAGAAAUCUGACCGUGACGUCAUCACUGACGUUCUGCGUCACCUGAACGAUGAAGACAAUGACCAGCCAAGAAAACCAUUCAUCAGUCUGAGGAAAGUGUGUCACCAUGGAAAACCUUGGGUGGCACUUCCACAGAAGCAGGACAUGUCACAGCAGAGGGAUGGCGAGACUGCACACCAGAGACUACAGAAUGUCAAAAUAAAUGCUCAACAAGAAUAAUGCCAACCAGAGACGAUGUUGCCUUUUAUAAAAAUUCAGAGAAACCACCAUGACUGUGUCACCCUUUUGUAAAUCUCUCAGUGACUUUUCCAAGCAAUUAUUAUGAUUUUAUACAAUACACAAACCAGGACAAGAUGAGAACUAAAUGUUACAAGAGGUCAGGAUAAUCUAUUUGGAUUUAAAGGCUAUGCCUUAUAUUUGAGCCACGAGAACUCCAAGUCCCAGACAAACAGACACGGAAGCCCUGCGGGUUCCCUGACGCCUGGCCCACGGUGGGGUUGGUAGUAACAGAGAGCACUGCAUGUCUAUCCUCUGGCACCAGUUUGACAUUUGCCCUGAUUCUUAAAACAACUUUCAGCUCAGUAUUACCAUCCCUAUUUCAGAGACCAGGAAACCGAGGCUCACACACUGGAAAGGGACCUGCCAGAAGUUGAACUAAGUGGCAAUGCUGGGACUCCCGCUCUGGUUUCCACUCUGCAGAGCGACUUCACAUUUCAGGAUGACAGUGCAGUUGGCAGUGACCUUGACCAGUGUUAGAAAAAAACCGAGUUAAUAAUGUUAACCUCAACCUAUAUUUAUACUUGUUGGGACUAUUAAGCCAGCAAAAGCACACCAUUCUCUGGGGUUUCGCUGCACUCCACCCAGCCUUGGGUAGGGCUCUUAGUGCUUGCCUGGUUAUUAAAAAUGCAAGACUUGCAACAAUGGGCUGGGAAUUACAAGAUUUAAAAGGAAGAUUCACAAAGCACGGAGCUGAUCUCCCUGUGCUAUGUG